GGCCAACAUCGGUUUUACGAGCCGGAUAAAGGUACAAGGAAGGUAGCAGUUUCGGCUGUGUUAUAGCCUNGUACUGAAUACGGAUUGUGAGACNNAGGGACGCAGCGCGNCGCAAGGCAAAGGGUCCGCCCUNUUCGCGCUNNGGAUGUUGGUGAAAU
rnacentral:rRNA from 1 species